UCAGUCCUCUCCUCAGACUGUCGGUUACUCGCGUCUGCCCUCAGAUCUGCUCGGGGCGAACUCCGCCCGCCAGGUGAGUGCAGCGCGAGCUCCGCACUGGCCAGGCAAGAGCUCGUCUCCGUCUUCCCUCCCCGUGUCUUGCUCCUCUGUCUCCCGGUCGCCGCAUCUGGAGAGAAGGGAGCCAAGAUGCCGAGCGCCGAGCAGCCGCCGCGACCCCAUGGCCCAGAUGCGAGCGGCGAGGCACCCUCUCAUUCCCUUCAACUCUAUCUGCUUCCCCUAACUACAAAUCCUCCUCCUCAGAUUCACCCGUGGCUCCUCUCCCCGGCACUAUGGCCACCAAAGUUCUUGCCUGCGCAUCCCUCUCGCCUCCACUUCUCCGUCUCCCACCCCAUCCUCAGAUCUGAGCGCCGCCCCCCCUAAACUCUGGUGAGGCGACGGUCGUGGGGCACCCAGCUCCGGGCUCGGUGAGCUGGCGGCGGCGGCGCGUCGAGGUCUCCCUCCGAGGUGGGACUCUGACCGUAGGGAGGCAAGGUUGUCCAUAUGACGCCGCGCCAUGGCCAUCCUUGAGGUGCCUAGGCUCCGAGGUUGUGGCCACCGGCUCCUGCAGGAGGCCGCAAGGUGUGGCGGUGCGUGGGCCACUCGAGCUCUCUCUCCGUGGGCUGGCAGCCGGUGGCGGUGCGGCUGCACGCGCCCUCGCGUGAAGCAUGGCAACGACAUCGAGUUGGAGCCCCGUGGUGAAGCAAGGCAACGACGUCCGUUCUCCAGGCUGUCAUGGCCAUGCAGUACAUGUCUACAAUGUUCUACUGCUUGUAGGAGGCAUAUAUAAAUGCCUGGAGCGUAAUUUCAGAUAAUUACAGAAAAAAAAUCCAUGUUGCAGUUAUUGGAUUCAGUCCAAUGCUUGUAGUAUUGGAGCUUAUGCAUGGGAUAUAGCUUCAGAUAACUAUAUAGGUCAUGUUUUGGGCAAUUAGUUCAAUGCUUGUAGGAGCAUAUGCCCUUCUAUGCAUGUAAUUUAGCAGGCAGCAUGCUUUUCUCCUGUGCUUCCUGUGCAGUAGGAGCUCAGUUUCUAUUGGUCAGUAAUGUAGCGAGAACUUGGCUUCGUUGGUGUUUUUCUGUGCACAAGUAGCAUCAUUAGUUCUGAUUGUGUUUCAUCACAAGCAAUGAUACACUUUUAGUCUAUUUGUGUAGGGACAACAACUAAGGUCUUAUUUCCUAGUAUUUCUCUGUAGCUCUUUUCUUAUCUUGUUUUUCUCUAGUGCUAAUAAUUUUUUUCUCAACAAAUACAGUAAGGCAUUAGUGGAUCCAAGUGUGAAACACUAUAUUUUUUCAUGAGCUCGUCGGAACUGCAACUCUAGAACUCUAGAGCGAAUACUUAUUUCCUAGUUCCACAAAGAAAAGAUUACACUGCUACUGAUUUUGGUUAAUUUAAUUGUGAUGCUCAUCCUGUCACGCAUGCUUCUUGAUUGAACAGAGCUCUGAUUAUUUAUGAUUUAGCAGUACUCUAGUGUGUAGCAGGUCUCAUUUGGUGCUAGAACAUUUGGUUUGCAUGUCCUAAUGGAUUAUUUUUUAUCACUAUUGUCAAUUGUCGAGCAUAGUAUUUUAAUUGAGUCUACAACAUUAACUGAACUGUUAUUUUUUUUUGAAAAGAUUGCGGGAGCUCCGCUUUGUUAUUUAAGGAGAAAGAAGUAGUUCAAGUUUACAUAGAAGUGCUAUUACAUAAAAGGGAGGAACUCAAGCUCUAAAAGUACUGAACUAAACAUUGAACAAAGACAACUCUGGUUUCCCGCAGGCCAGAACCCUACAAUUCAGCUCAGCUUUGAUUUCCUGCAGUACCUCCGUUGGUGUCAAGAUCUGAUGCUCGAACACCCAUUUGUUUCGUGCCUUCCAGAUGUUCCAAGCACCGUAGAUCAGCAACGUUGCUUUGAGUCGUCGAAUCUUCUUGGGUAGGUUUGCCAAUUCCUUCUCCCACCACUCCAUGAUGUCAAUCCCCUGAGCCGGAAUCGUAAUCAGAUUUUGCGACCAAGUUUCCAGCUUCGCCCACACUUGUCUGGCGAAUGCGCAGUGUAGGAUGAGGUGAGGUGCUGUCUCGGGUUCUUGAGUGCAAAGGGUGCUGGUUGGACUACAAGGCCACCGUCUUGCCAACAAUUUAUCUGCUGUGUGAAUCUUGCACUGAAGUAGAAGUCAAGCAAAAAACUUAUGCUUUCCUUCCGCUUCUGCUUGCCAAACACUAAGCCCUCGAAAGUUACUAUAAGAUCCCAAGAACUGUGCAUUGUAAGCUGACUUGGCCGUAUAGGCCCCAUCCGAUGUCCAUCUCCAA